GUGAGACACGGGGCUGAAGUCGGCAGCCCUCGCCGACUUCAGCCCCGAUUCAUUUGGGGAAGGAGCCGGAACAGAGGAUCGCGUGGGCGAUCCUCUCCGGCUCCUCCGGAAGGGCAAACAAGGCAAGGGCGCCGCGAGAGUCCCGCGGCGCCCCUCCUAGUCCAUCCACGGCCGAUUCACGGCCGUGGAUCUCGCUUGACCGCCGCGAUUUUCGCGGCGGAGAACGAUUGCGAUGGGGCUAUAAAGCC
rnacentral:lncRNA from 1 species